rnacentral:rRNA from 1 species
AUUGAACGCUGGCGGCAGGCUUAACACAUGCAAGUCGAACGAGUGGCGGACGGGUGAGUAAUGCUUGGGAAUCUAGCUUAUGGAGGGGGAUAACUACGGGAAACUGUAGCUAAUACCGCGUACCAUAGGAUGAGCUCAAGUGGGAUUAGGUAGUUGGUGAGGUAAAGGUUCACCAAGCCGACGAUCUCUAGCUGGUCUGAGAGGAUGACCACCCGCACUGGGACUGAGACACGGCGCAGACGACAACGGUAGGCAGCAGUUGGGAAUAUUGCGAAAUGGGGGCAACCUGACGAAGCGAUGCCGCGUGAAUGAAGAGGGCAUACGGGUUGUAAAGUUCUUUCGGUGGCGAGGCGUUAACUACAGAAGAAGCACCGGCUAACUCCGUGCCAGCAGCCGCGGUAAUUC